rnacentral:rRNA from 1 species
AUUGAACGCUGGCGGCAUGCCUUACACAUGCAAGUCGAACGGCAGCACGGGUGCUUGCCCCUGGUGGCGAGUGGCGAACGGGUGAGUAAUACAUCGGAACAUGUCCUGUAGUGGGGGAUAGCCCGGCGAAAGCCGGAUUAAUACCGCAUACGAUCUACGGAUGAAAGCGGGGGACCUUCUGGCCUCGCGCUUUGGGGUUGGCCGAUGGCUGAUUAGCUAGUUGGUGGGGUAAAGGCCUACCAAGGCGACGAUCAGUAGCUGGUCUGAGAGGACGACCAGCCACACUGGGACUGAGACACGGCCCAGACUCCUACGGGAGGCAGCAGUGGGGAAUUUUGGACAAUGGGCGAAAGCCUGAUCCAGCAAUGCCGCGUGUGUGAAGAAGGCCUUCGGGUUGUAAAGCACUUUUGUCCGGAAAGAAAUCCUUGGCCCUAAUACGGUCGGGGGAUGACGGUACCGGAAGAAUAAGCACCGGCUAACUACGUG